GAUUUUUGUCUAGUGAGCCAUAUUGACUCUUUCUUGAGACCCAUGUAUCAGAGACGUUCUAAAACGACCCUCUUAAAAAGUUCAAAAAAGAACUUUUCUUAGUAUUUUUAGGGUGGAAGAAAUAAGAUUGUACUGCUGGGAGAAGGCAUCUGCCUCCCCUUCUCCAGAUAUUUGAGGAGCCUGAAUUUGGUUCUUGACCCUUUCUCCUCAAGUUCUGCCCUUUUUCACUAGCAGUCACACCCACUGUGGUGGCUUAAACUCUAUCAUACACCCAGUUCUCAAACCUGUUCCUUCCACCCCAACCUCUUUUGAGCUUUUAUAUCUGUAUUUCCACACAUUGCACAUUACCACCUGAAUGACACACACUCUUUGAACUUACUUAUCUAAAAUAAAACCCAUUUCUCCAUACAUUCUCCUCUUUGACUCCCCACGUUACUGAAAUUACUGCCCAGCAAUCUGAGCUAGAACCUCAAUUCUCCUUGAGAUCCUUCAAUUCCUCUUUGCCAUCAUCUAAUCAAUCACUUACUGUUGAGUUUACCCCUAUAUAAACUUCCUAAUCUGUUUUGUCCAUAUCUACUGAAUUGGUUCAUUCCUUUAGCCUCUCAGGGCUGGACCACUGCAACAGCUUCCUAAUUAUCUCUACCUUCAUUCUUCACAUCUUCA
rnacentral:lncRNA from 1 species